AAACAAAUGUGUUUUGCUUCUCUCAGUGUUGUCCAAAAUUGCAUUGCAUUAUUAGACAUUGUUCUACAGAAAAUACUGAGAUUUUCUAGUUUCUUUCAGACAUGCUUUACUUUGACUUCAUGUCUCCUGAGGGGAAUUCCAACCAUAAAUUUUGUGAAUUGGAGGAAGAUAUACAAUAUUAUAUAUGCCAUGAAAGAACAAAGAAAAGAGUAUUGCACUUAGACAACAUAUGGAGUCAUGGAUCUCCCAAAUGCAUUUCUGUUUUGAAGGAAGCUCUCAUAAAUAAAACACACAGACUCCUAUGGAAUUACAGGACCUGUGAUAAGAGGAAGGAUGAUGCACCCCAGCCUUCCACGUCUCAACACAGAACAAAAGAAGUCAAUGUCUUUUCUACCGAAAACUGAGAUUACAAGGUUAAUAUGUAAAGAUGUUUGGCUCUCUCUGUACUUUCUGCUCUGCAUUUUCUUGUUUACAAAGAGUUUUCACUGCUCAAGGUCACUGAUAGCUCAGUAAUUCCUUGCUAAAAUGUAAAACUUUAACUCCCAAACUCUGAAAGACCAAAGUAGGAGAAAGGUUUCCAAAUAUAAACAGUAAGAAGGCUGUCCUGAGGCUUAAAACAGUGAAAAGUUACCUUGGCAAUUUAAUAAUGUGUUUAUAGGUAAUCUGAAUUUGUUACCUUAUGCCAAGGCUAUAAUUUGGAUUCAAAUAUUGUGGAAGGAAAUAAAGUAAAAAGAAAAGGGUAAAUAAACUUGAAAAUAAUACUUAUGUAUGAGGAUGCAUUUUUAGUCAAACGGGUUAAAAGAAAAAGUUUUAGAAAAAGAUGGCUUUUGUAGGACAAUAACAAAUAUAGCUUAUAGCUAAAUCACACAAUGUCUGAGGAAGUUAUACAAGGUUACUGGAGGAUGAGAUUUAGAGGUGGCAUAUGUUUUAUUAUUAAAAGUUAUUAAUAUUCUCCAAAAUUUGGUGUACUGAUGUUAGCAAUUGUAAGAACUGGCAUAUAAAAAUGCAAAUAAAUCUAAUCAAGAAAAUAAUAUUUUUACUAACUUUGUUAGGUUUUACACACUUGAGGAUACUGACUUUUAAUAAAAAUGGGAUUUAUUUUAAAACUUAUUUUGGUCCAAGUUUUAUUUAAGUAUUACUAGGGAUUUAACUUACAUGAAUGGUUAAUCUUUACUUCGGGGAGUUUAGCAACUAAACCUUAGAAGUAUAUGCCAAAGAGGAUAAGAGGAUUCAAAAGGACAGCUGGGUCAGCCAGGACCCAGAGAUGAUGGGACUCCCCUGGUAAGUCAUUUGUCUUCUUGAUUAGACAGGUCAUGGAAUCUCUAGAGAUUCAACUCCAGCCAGUACACAUCUUGUGGGAAGGAUAUUCAAUGGACAGGGACAACUUUCCCAUACUUCCUUGGGAAGUCAUGUGUUUAACAGGCCCCUGAUGCACACAUACAGAUAGCAAAACUGCUAGAGGAGUAGUUAGAGGAGCCAGGAGGAUUAUCUUAAAUCCUUAAGAGUAAUCCCUAAGGAACCUUAGCUGAAUUAAGUAAAAGUUUAUCUGUGAUCACCAACAUGGUCUUCAACACCCCAAAGGACUGUAUAAACAAGGAAAUGGCUGUCAUUCAGAUAGCCAGUUUUAGUCAAUCUAAAAGGGAC
rnacentral:lncRNA from 1 species